UUUCAGAGGGUAGUUUAAUUAAAAAUAUUAAUUUUGGAGAUUAAAGAUAUUAGGUUUCCUCU
rnacentral:tRNA from 1 species